rnacentral:rRNA from 1 species
UGCGAAGGGGGCUAGCGUUGUUCGGAUUUACUGGGCGUAAAGCGCACGUAGGCGGAUCGUUAAGUCGGGGGUGAAAUCCUGGAGCUCAACUCCAGAACUGCCUUCGAUACUGGCGAUCUUGAGUCCGGAAGAGGUGAGUGGAACUCCUAGUGUAGAGGUGGAAUUCGUAGAUAUUAGGAAGAACACCAGUGGCGAAGGCGGCUCACUGGUCCGGUACUGACGCUGAGGUGCGAAAGCGUGGGGAGCAAACAGG